UCCGCUUUUAUGGUAGAUCGGACAGUCAAAUAAAAUAAUCACCAUCUGUCGAAGCAAUGGAGGAAAUUUAUGCUAAUGUUGACUCUAUUAAAUCUGUCUGCGACAUUCCUAUUACCAACAACAUAGGUUCAAGGAGUUCCAAGAAGACGCUAUUUUUGGGUCUUCUUAUCUUUCUGGGGCUCCUGAAUGUUUUCCUGCUGAUUGGACUCAUCAGCCUUGGUGUCUAUUCUCAUGGCUUAGGCAGUUUCACAGCAGAUUUAUCCGACAUCAAAGACAAUCUGACUGAUCAUCUCCAAGCCAGCAAUGGCCAUCUGAUUUUGAUGACUAAACAAAGAGACCUAUUAAUAUCAAACCUCACAGAAACGUCUAAAGAGCUGAUCAGACUUCAAAAUUUAUCCAAGCAGAAGAAAACAUGUCCUGCAGGAUGGAGAAUGUCCAGCUGUUCUUGUUAUCUCCUCUCUACAAACACUGGCUCCUGGGAUAAAGGUAGAGAGGACUGCAGAAACAGAGGAGGAGAUCUGGUGGUGAUAGACAACGCUGAAGAACAGGUAUUGUGUUAUUUUAAUGUGAGACUGUUCU